AUUUCUUUCUGGAGUUCCCUUUGAGGAGUUUUCUUCUGUGAGCCUAGAUCUUUGGAAAUUGGGCAUCUUUUCACCCAGGCUGGCUGGUGACUGCUGAGCAACAGCUGAGAGAAAACAGUGAUAACUACCAUAUGAACAUUCACAUCUCAAGCCUUAUGCUGAUGGUAGGGGAACGGCUGGAGACCAAAGAGGAAGUUAGAUUCUUCUAGGAAAUGUGAAUGAGCCCAGUGAGAUGUGCCCAAAGUCUCCCAAGAGUCUCUGGCAGAACUGGAAAGAGAAUUGAAAUUUCCUGUUGCUUUCUGGUGACUUGGAGAGGGAAGGUCACACAUGCUCCAUGGUCCACACCUGCUCAUAGAUGCGUGAAGUUUGUCCUCGUGCUGGGCAGAGACUGAUGGGAGACUGUUCAGGGCAUUUUAGUUUUUUGACACUUAAUUUUGUCUUAACGGGGAUAAAGAUUCAUAUGUUGUGGCGUUUUCCUGCUGAAAAUUGAUGCAUAUAAGUACUGUUUCUCAGCAUGUGUCUUGUCGUGGACAAGGCAUGGUAGGGUUAAACAAUUCUUGGUUUUGGGUCCUGUCUCAGACAUUUGUGUGUGUGUGUGUGUGUUGUGUGUGUGUUUGGCUUUUGAUUAUUUACAAGGAAAUGCUGGAUUUCAUACAUUAAUUUCAUCAUUAAUGAAAUUUUAAUCGGAAAGUUCAAGAAGUACAGUCAAAUGAAUAUAUGUGACUUACAAUAGUAUGGGAAUCAUAGAAUCAUAAAAUUUCCCUAGUGGGAAGGGACCCAUAAGGAUCAUAGUGUUCAUCUUCUGGGUACACAGGAUCACCCAAAAUAAGAUCAUAUGACCAAGAGCAUUGUCUAGAUGCAUCUUGAAUUCCUGUAGAUCAGUGCAGUUGCUGCUGCCUUGGGAGCCUCUUCCAGUUCCUGACCACCCUCUCAGUGAAGAGAUGAUAUCCAACUUGACCCUCUCCUGACGCAGCUUCUUAUAAUUCCCUCAGGUCCUGUUGCUGUCAUCAGAGAAGAGAUCAGUGCUGCCACUCAACCUUAUAGGGAAGCCUUUUGUACUGUGGCCCAAAUACAUGCACAGUACUUGAGAUGAGGCUGCACCAGUGCAGCAUAGAGCAGGAAUAUUAAAUGAAAAUAUAUACAUAUAUUUCACAGCAAUAAUUUUUAUAGGAUAACUGUUUUAAUAAUAAUAUUAAUUACUUAAAAUAGCUUGCUUGCUUACUGGCGUUCUUUCUAGUUUACACUGUUAAUUACUCUAGGGGGUGAAAUUCAGAAAUCCACAUUAGGUAUUAAUACAGUCUUAAUCAAAAUAUAAUUUCCAAUAGCUUCAGUAGGACAUUUACCUAAACCUAUUUCUGAGUAAGUACUUCAGAAUCUGGACCCUAGUGGUAAUAUGUAAUCUGCAUUUUAAAAGUAUUACUCUGAGUACACAGUGAAAUAUAAAAUUCUGCAGUUGAAGCCUAUUCACAGCAUCCUAGGUUUUAGAUUAUUAAUUUUUAUUUAUUUGUUAUCCUCUACUUUCCCUAAAAAUUUUUUUGCUUCUUAAAUAUUGUGAAAGAAAUUAUUGUUGUUGGUACGGGCUUGUAGUGCUCUUCAGCUAAGGAAGCAGAGUUCCUAAGCACGCUUACUGUGGUCUGGUUAGUUUGCUGACCAGUCCCCUUCUUAUGCUGUAUAGCCUUCACUAGCCCCAGGUAGGUGGAGCAAUCAUCCAAGAAUAAGGGCUCAUUGUUGGGAAUUAAUAAAGAAUCAGGGCUCUUGAGUUCAAGUGAGGUAAAGACUGUAUUUUUACUGAAUGUAGAUUUUUAACUGAGAUACUUGAAUAGUUAAAUUUGGCAAAUAGUUUGAUUUGGCAAUAUAAUACGUUUCUUAUGCCUUCUGUUUUCAGGCAGCAGUGAUUUGAAUUGUAUAUAAUUCUGUAAGUAAAUUUCUUUGAAUUUGCACAAUUUCACGUAUCCUCACAGUAAUUUUAUCAUAGUAGUGUAGAAAAUCAUGAUAUCCAGUGGAUACCUUUCUUUUCCUUUCUCUUUUAGGACAAUUGCCUCUAAGGCCUAAGCUUGGGGUAGAGAAAUAUUAAAAAAUACCGAGUUUGUAGACGUUGCCGUUUGACGUCCUAUGUAGUACAUUGUUUUUCCUUUGUGAAAAUUUUUAAAUAUUUCAAUGUUGGACUAAGGAAAUAAUGCAGAGUAUAUUAAGAAAAACAUAACAAACAACAGCAAAACAACAUUUUGAGAUUACCACAAAAUUCUACAUUUGAUCAAAUUUUCCGCAAGGAAUAACUAAUGAAUACAGUAAUGCUUUCAUCUUCCUAUGUACAAUCUGGAUGGAGAUUAUAGAAUACUUUAAGUGCUGAAUUAUAUAUUGAUAUGAGUUGGAAUUGGUAGUAAAAUAGUGCAGUAAUAAAUGUUAUAGGUGUUUGGCAUUUAGAAACAAAUGUGUAUACCUUUUUUUAUUAAGCAUGAACAUCACUUGAUAUGUUUUCUGUUUUCUAUGAGCUUAACUUAGCGUAUUUUUUCAUCAAAUCUUAUUCUCACAAAUUCAGAAUUCCAGUUCCUAAAAACUUGGGUUGCAAUUAGUUCAAACUUUUGUCUGGAGAAAUAAGUCCUGCAAAAACUUAUGCCAUAAAGAAUGAAUGGUAGUAUAAGGAUAGAAUGGUGGGUUGAACACACGUCCUGUGGAUAUUUACUUAAAUAUUUGGAUUUUUCUUAAGAACUUGAGUCUGAACAUGUUGCUGGAAAUGCCAAACUUGAAAGUGAAAGUGAUGUAUUAUUCAGGGAACAAUACUGUACUAAAUCAGUCUAGCACUCAGGUUGACUAACAGGUAAGGAAAUUGAGUUUGAUCAUUUGAAAUCAGUGAGAUGUACUGCUGAGUUAGAUCAGAAAAAACAUGGACUUUGCUCCCUGGCCAACAUUUUCCAUAAUAUUUCAAGAUUUCAUAGGAUGCCCUGCUGAGACUCGACUUCUAUAGUCAUGUAAGAAAUAUGUGAAUAUGUGAGAUAAUGAAAAUAAUACAAAUAGAAAUAGUAACUGAACAAAAAAUUCAACAAUGAGAGUAGUCUCUAUGGGGAAUAGGGAAAAUGCCAGCACUUACUGCCAAUGAUGAUGGUUCAUCUUUUUGUGCUCUUUGUAGAUCUUUUAUCCCCUUGGUUUUAAGUGAUAUCACUAGCACGAUAUAUUACCACCCUCUAAAUGUUAGGGAAGUGUAAUAAAAACAAAAAAAAAUCUUGCCUUUUCUAUACUGCUUCUAACCAAGUUAAAUUGAAACUGUUCAUUUUCAACACAAAAAUUAGGAGCAAUACAUUUUUUAGAUAAAAAGUUUCAAAAAAUUAGUUGUUAAAUUGAAUUCUCUCUUUACCAGAAUUUGACAAAAAAGCUGAUAAAUUCAUAAAUUUGCUUAUUGGCAUUGUAGGGUACCCUUCAUAAUCAGCAGUCGCUGUCUCUUGUGACAUGAGGUCUCUCCUUCCUAAGACCCUUCUUGUCUUAUACUGAAACCAAUUUAAAAAAUCUUUAACAGAUAAAAGUGAAGUGCAAGUAUUGGAAUGUGACCAGUCAUUUUUCAUUAGCUACCUCUGCUAUAUGGAACAGCAUUGUGUGAUGACCAAAAACAGACUCAAGCCUCUCAUGUACAUAUUAUAGAAUCAAACAAGUUGUUAAGCUAAGGGAUAAUGUAAUCCAAAGUGAGGAGAUCUAUAAUGAAUUCUGAAAAACAUGUUUCUAUGCUUUUUUUUUUUUUGUUUAUGGCCUGGGGAUAUUUUCAAAUUCCUUCCUGCAGUGUAUCAAGUCACAGUAUGGGGUAACCGAACAUCUACUUUCCAUGAAAUAUUUUGCCAAAUUUCAAACUUUCAUCUUCAGAUUCAGUGUGCUUUUGUGUUUUGAUAUGCUUCCUUUCAAAGGCUCAAACAUUUUGCUAACAUGUCAAGCUGCAAGAAGAUUUAAUCAUGUAAAUGAUGAAAUUCAGAGUUGCAAAUGAUUUUGUCUAGCAAUACAUUUCUCAACUGUGCAAAUUCUGAUGAUAGGAAUUUUUAAAAUUACACUCUUAUUUCAGAGCAGUGAGAAGUAACUCAUAUAGGCUGUAAUUACAACAAUUUUUUUUCUCCUCGCUGUUUAUAGACUACAGAGAGAUUGGAUUACGAUGUCUCUGAUGUCUUUUAUGUGCAUUAGGAGUGGAAAAGGGUCAAAUAUAUCCAAUAAUAUUUCCUAUGUAGAAAGAAGGUACCACAGAGUGAAAUGCAAAUGAAUGCUACCAAAAGCUUUUUCCUCCUGACUCAUGACCUCAGCAUUUAAUUGCCUUUAUCCCUGGACUAGUAGUUUACAGUAAGUGUCAAAAUGACCUGAUAUGUUGCUGGUAGUAUGAAAUAAGAUCAGUUGAUAAUGAAAAUUACUGCUUGUCUAAGAGGUUUCUUGUUCCGAAUGUCUCAAUAAUUUCUCUCAGUGGAAGUGAGUUUUGUCAGCAGACAAACAGCUUAGUGCAUAUAGAUGUGUAACGGAUCUUAGAAAGAGAUGUGGCUGUUCCAGUGCAGUAGUGUCAUUUUCAGGUCUUUAUUAUUUAGUUUGGUUACUCUGAAAUCUCAUCUGAUGAAACAAAUUCCAAAAUCUUUGUCAUUUUUGGGAUUAUUUUUGCUGAUUGUAAUAGCCAAUAAAUGUUAAUAAUAACAGUAAAGGCACUGACAGAAGAAUAUAUGAUCUGCGAAGAUUUGAAAGGAAACCCAGAUAUUAAUUAAAAAUUAUAAGGCAUUUCAUCAUUGUUCUUUCUUUCUGCAAUAUUUUGUAAUUUUGUAAAUUUUUUGCUGAUAGAUUAAAACUUAAAAUUUCCUAUGCAACACCUGGUUAAAUCUUGUUUACUACCAGUUCAAUUUUUCUUUUAUUCAAAUUUUUGUUUUUGUGUUCUGCCUGAUAAAAGAUUACCAUUCAUUUUCAUUAGGUUAAAAUAUGUACAGGGAGAGAUCCCAGGAUUGGAUUGAUGUAUUUCACUUCAGUUUCAUGUGUUACAGAAGCCUUAUACUUUCUUCCCCUGUACUACCUGCCAUGUUAUCAAACUAAAACUUUUAACCUUGGCAAAGACAUGGGAUUUUUACAUAGAAUAAUCAGUAAUUUAUACAAUGAAUUACAGAAAAUAUUAAAUCUGAUUUCUAUUCUUUUCCCCCAUUAAUUAGCAUUUAAUAAA